AUCCGAGUUCCCAUGCGAUCACCGAGGUUAAGCAACGUCGAGCCUGGUUAGUACCUAGAUGGGUGACCGUUUGGGAAUACCAGGUGCUGUAAG